rnacentral:rRNA from 1 species
GACGAACGCUGGCGGCGUGCUUAACACAUGCAAGUCGAACGAAGAGCGAUGGAAGCUUGCUUCUAUCAAUCUUAGUGGCGAACGGGUGAGUAACGCGUAAUCAACCUGCCCUUCAGAGGGGGACAACAGUUGGAAACGACUGCUAAUACCGCAUACGAUCUAACCUCGGCAUCGAGGAUAGAUGAAAGGUGGCCUCUACAUGUAAGCUAUCACUGAAGGAGGGGAUUGCGUCUGAUUAGCUAGUUGGAGGGGUAACGGCCCACCAAGGCGAUGAUCAGUAGCCGGUCUGAGAAGAUGAACGGCCACAUUGGGACUGAGACACGGCCCAGACUCCUACGGGAGGCAGCAGUGGGGAAUCUUCCGCAAUGGACGAAAGUCUGACGGAGCAACGCCGCGUGAGUGAUGACGGCCUUCGGGUUGUAAAGCUCUGUUAAUCGGGACGAAAGGCCUUCUUGCGAAUAGUUAGAAGGAUUGACGGUACCGGAAUAGAAAGCCACGGCUAACUACGUG